AGGAAUAUUGGUCAAUGGGCGCAGGCCUGAACCAGCCAAGUAGCGUGAAGGAUGACUGCCCUAUGGGUUGUAAACUUCUUUUAUAAAGGAAUAAAGUCGGGUAUGUAUACCCGUUUGCAUGUACUUUAUGAAUAAGGAUCGGCUAACUCCGUGCCAGCAGCCGCGGUAAUACGGAGGAUCCGAGCGUUAUCCGGAUUUAUUGGGUUUAAAGGGAGCGUAGAUGGAUGUUUAAGUCAGUUGUGAAAGUUUGCGGCUCAACCGUAAAAUUGCAGUUGAUACUGGAUAUCUUGAGUGCAGUUGAGGCAGGCGGAAUUCGUGGUGUAGCGGUGAAAUGCUUAGAUAUCACGAAGAACUCCGAUUGCGAAGGCAGCCUGCUAAGCUGCAACUGACAUUGAGGCUCGAAAGUGUGGGUAUCAAACAGGAUUAGAUACCCUGGUAGUCCACACGGUAAACGAUGAAUACUCGCUGUUUGCGAUAUACUGCAAGCGGCCAAGCGAAAGCGUUAAGUAUUCCACCUGGGGAGUACGCCGGCAACGGUGAAACUCAAAGGAAUUGACGGGGGCCCGCACAAGCGGAGGAACAUGUGGUUUAAUUCGAUGAUACGCGAGGAACCUUACCCGGGCUUAAAUUGCAGAUGAAUUACGGUGAAAGCCGUAAGCCGCAAGGCAUCUGUGAAGGUGCUGCAUGGUUGUCGUCAGCUCGUGCCGUGAGGUGUCGACUUAAGUGCCAUAACGAGCGCAACCCUUGUUGUCAGUUACUAACAGGUUCCGCUGAGGACUCUGACAAGACUGCCAUCGUAAGAUGUGAGGAAGGUGGGGAUGACGUCAAAUCAGCACGGCCCUUACGUCCGGGGCUACACACGUGUUACAAUGGGGGGUACAGAGGGCCGCUACCACGCGAGUGGAUGCCAAUCCCCAAAACCUCUCUCAGUUCGGACUGGAGUCUGCAACCCGACUCCACGAAGCUGGAUUCGCUAGUAAUCGCGCAUCAGCCACGGCGCGGUGAAUACGUUCCCG
rnacentral:rRNA from 1 species